UCUCCGUUGGUGAACCAGCGGAGGGAUCAUUACCGAGUUUACAACUCCCAAACCCAAUGUGAACCAUACCAAACUGUUGCCUCGGCGGGGUCACGCCCCGGGUGCGUCGCACCCCCGGAACCAGGCGCCCGCCGGAGGGACCAACCAAACUCUUUCUGUAGUCCCCUCGCGGACGUUAUUUUUACAGCUCUGAGCGAAAAUUCAAAAUGAAUCAAAACUUUCAACAACGGAUCUCUUGGUUCUG
rnacentral:misc_RNA from 1 species